rnacentral:rRNA from 1 species
UCCUACGGGAGGCAGCAGUGGGGAAUAUUGGACAAUGGGGGCAACCCUGAUCCAGCCAUGCCGCGUGUGUGAAGAAGGCCCUCGGGUUGUAAAGCACUUUCAGCGAGGAAGAACGCCUAGCGGUUAAUACCCGCUAGGAAAGACAUCACUCGCAGAAGAAGCACCGGCUAACUCCGUGCCAGCAGCCGCGGUAAUACGGAGGGUGCAAGCGUUAAUCGAAAUUACUGGGCGUAAAGCGCGCGUAGGUGGCUUGAUAAGCCGGUUGUGAAAGCCCCGGGCUCAACCUGGGAACGGCAUCCGGAACUGUCAAGCUAGAGUGCAGGAGAGGAAGGUAGAAUUCCCGGUGUAGCGGUGAAAUGCGUAGAGAUCGGGAGGAAUACCAGUGGCGAAGGCGGCCUUCUGGACUGACACUGACACUGAGGUGCGAAAGCGUGGGUAGCAAACAGGAUUAGAUACCCUGGUAGUCCACGCCGUAAACGAUGUCGACCAGCCGUUGGGUGCCUAGCGCACUUUGUGGCGAAGUUAACGCGAUAAGUCGACCGCCUGGGGAGUACGGCCGCAAGGUUAAAACUCAAAUGAAUUGACGG